rnacentral:rRNA from 1 species
GAUGAACGCUAGCGGGAGGCUUAACACAUGCAAGUCGAGGGGCAGCACGAGAUAGCAAUAUUUUGGUGGCGACCGGCGCACGGGUGAGUAACGCGUAUGCAACCUACCUUGUACAGGGGGAUAACUCGGAGAAAUCCGGACUAAUACCCCAUAAUGAUAUUGAGAGGCAUCUUUUGAUAUUUAAAGUUCCGACGGUACAGGAUGGGCAUGCGUAACAUUAGCUAGUUGGUAAGGUAACGGCUUACCAAGGCUACGAUGUUUAGGGGACCUGAGAGGGUGAUCCCCCACACUGGAACUGAGACACGGUCCAGACUCCUACGGGAGGCAGCAGUGAGGAAUAUUGGACAAUGGAUGGAAAUCUGAUCCAGCCAUGCCGCGUGCGGGAAGAAGGUCCUAUGGAUUGUAAACCGCUUUUGUACGGGAGCAAUAAGAUCUACGAGUAGAUUGAUGAGAGUACUGUACGAAUAAGCAUCGGCUAACUCCGUGCCAGCAGCCGCGGUAAUACGGAGGAUGCAAGCGUUAUCCGGAUUUAUUGGGUUUAAAGGGUGCGUAGGUGGACUGUCAAGUCUGUGGUGAAAAGUUCGCGCUCAACGCGAAUCGUGCCAUGGAAACUGGUGGUCUUGAAUAGGGGUGCCGUUGGCGGAAUGUGAAGUGUAGCGGUGAAAUGCAUAGAUAUUACACAGAACACCGAUUGCGAAAGCAGCUGACGAACCCUCGAUUGACACUGAGGCACGAAAGUGCGGGGAUCGAACAGGAUUAGAUACCCUGGUAGUCCGCACAGUAAACGAUGACAACUGGCUGUCGGCGAUAUACCGAUCGGUAGCGAAGCGAAAGCGUUAAGUUGUCCACCUGGGGAGUACGACCGCAAGGUUGAAACUCAAAGGAAUUGACGGGGGCCCGCACAAGCGGAGGAACAUGUGGUUUAAUUCGAUGAUACGCGAGGAACCUUACCCGGGCUCGAACGGUGCAGGAAUACAGGAGAGAUUCUGUAGCAUAGCAAUAUGUCUGCAUCGAGGUGCUGCAUGGUUGUCGUCAGCUCGUGCCGUGAGGUGUAGGCUUAAGUGCCAUAACGAGCGCAACCCUUGUCGUCAGUUGCCAGCACGCAGUGGUGGGCACUCUGGCGAGACUGCCGCCGUAAGGUGUGAGGAAGGGGGGGAUGACGUCAAAUCAGCACGGCCCUUACGUCCGGGGCGACACACGUGUUACAAUGGCAGGUACAGAGGGGAGCGAGGCGGCGACGCCGAGCCAAUCUCGAAAGCCUGUCUCAGUUCGGACUGGAGUCUGCAACUCGACUCCACGAAGCUGGAUUCGCUAGUAAUCGCGCAUCAGCCAUGGCGCGGUGAAUACGUUCCCGGGCCUUGUACACACCGCCCGUCAAGCCAUGGAAGCCGAUGGUACCUAAAGUCCGUAACCGUAAGGAUCGGCCUAGGGUAAAACUGGUAACUGGGGCU